rfam:Schistosoma rodhaini strain Burundi genome assembly, scaffold: SROB_scaffold0000247
CGACUGCUGAAGAGUCCCACAAGUGGACGAAACGGUCGUCCAGUGC